rnacentral:tRNA from 1 species
GCCUAGUUAGCUUAGUUGGUAGUGCGUCUGCCUUGUAAGCGUUAGGCCGCGGUUUCGAUUUCCGCCCGGGGCG